GUUUGUCUUCAGAUCUUCUAGAUGAGGCACAAAGACUGUUUGGAUCAGCCUGCAAGCUUGCUUAAGCCCUUAAAACUGAUUUCAAUGGAAAUGGUCUGACUAAGCAUCCUUUGAAUGCCAGGGUAUGGUGUUAGCUAAGAGGAUGUAGAACAUCCUGUCUGGAAGAUGUGAAAGAUGGCAUCUAAAGCAGAACUGCAGUACCAGAUAGCACUUUUUAUGGACUCUCGAAAAGAGACAUGGCUGGGGAAGAGUGUGUGAUGUGAGGUCAGGCCAAACCAAUGGGAAUUAUCUUGUAUCACAAAAGAAGGUGCUGAAAGGGUAAGGAGAGUAAAUGGCUUUAUAGGUUAAAUAAGCUUAAUGGCCUGCAUGAAAGCAAGCCAGUGAGAGGGUGAAAUGCCAAAGCAAGAUGAGACCAAAGUAAUGAUUUAUCCUGCUCUGCAAACCAUGGCUAUUAAAUGGGGAGAGGCUGGAAAUGCUGCUGGCUGGUCUGUAGUGAUGCUGCAUGACAAUGUCAGCAGGCAGUGUCAAAUCUCCUGAGUGCACGCUCCUGGGAGGAUAACGUAAAAUGCUGGCAACACCUUGGAAGAUGCCAAGGCAAUUUCUGGCAGAGGAAUGCUGCUGAGGAUCAUCCUGUCUGUUGGGUUCAAUUUCAACAGGCUUUUCCCUGAUGUGAAUGCCUCUGGAAAUCCUGCCUACCCCCAUGUUCCAGCUACCAAAGCCUCACCAGGGUUCAGAGUGCUCUCACCAACUGCGGUCUCACUGUGAUGGGAGACACAUGGGAAGGGGUGAGAGAAUGCAGCCUGAGCUCCUGCCUGGUGAUAUAAUGGCUGGAGCACUUGCUGCUGCCCCUGGCACUUCCGUGGCAUCCACCUGGGCAGCUGAGAGGAGAGGAUUGGUUCAGCUAUGGCCAUCUCUCUUUGAGAGGGAAAGCCAGGUUGGGAAAUGGGGAGCGAAAGGACAGUGGGGCUGGCAGAGAGAGCUGAGGAGCUCACAGCACCACUCCCAGCAGCUCAUGUGGGCAUUGCCUCCUGUGCCAAGCCUUGCAAUCCCUUUUGUGUCCCUGCUCUGCCAUUAGUGCUCAGCACUGACACUGCUUUGGGCCCUGCUCUCCUUUCACAAUUGCUGCAAUUGUGUAGGGACAAGCUCAAGAAAGAGUCUUCGGUCUAUGGAUCGGUGAGAGGAUGCCAUAACAACUACUGUGUCUUCUUUUCCCUGCUGAGCAACAAUGAUAAACUUGAUUAGCAGGUGAGGGAUUUUUCUGAAUAGAGACAGGGAAAUAUUGAUACAUUUAUACUACCAUUCUCCAGUGAAUUAUUUUUGUAGCUUUGGUUACCCAUGGUCCAGAAGUGUGGUAUUCACAUGCCCUCUGAACAGAGAGAAGCUGUGAGACAAGCAGAGAAAGAAAACACAAUUCUUAUCUUGCUUGCUGUGCCUGUGUUGUGCAAAAGUAGAAUGCAAUAUGGAGAUUG
rnacentral:lncRNA from 1 species